AACGAUGAAGCUUCUAGCUUGCUAGAAGUGGAUUAGUGGCGCACGGGUGAGUAAUGCAUAGGUUAUGUGCCCCAUAGUCUGGGAUAGCCACUGGAAACGGUGAUUAAUACUAGAUACUCCCUACGGGGGAAAGUUUUUCGCUAUGGGAUCAGCCUAUGUCCUAUCAGCUUGUUGGUGAGGUAAUGGCUCACCAAGGCUAUGACGGGUAUCCGGCCUGAGAGGGUGAUCGGACACACUGGAACUGAGACACGGUCCAGACUCCUACGGGAGGCAGCAGUAGGGAAUAUUGCUCAAUGGGCGAAAGCCUGAAGCAGCAACGCCGCGUGGAGGAUGAAGGUUUUAGGAUUGUAAACUCCUUUUGUUAGAGAAGAUUAUG
rnacentral:rRNA from 1 species